rnacentral:rRNA from 1 species
GAGUCUUAAUUGGGCGUUAAGUUGCAGGGUAUAGACCCGAAACCCGGUGAUCUAGCCAUGGGCAGGUUGAAGGUUGGGUAACACUAACUGGAGGACCGAACCGACUAAUGUUGAAAAAUUAGCGGAUGACCUGUGGCUGGGGGUGAAAGGCCAAUCAAACCGGGAGAUAGCUGGUUCUCCCCGAAAGCUAUUUAGGUAGCGCCUCGUGAAUUCAUCUCCGGGGGUAGAGCACUGUUUCGGCUAGGGGGCCAUCCCGGCUUACCAACCCGAUGCAAACUGCGAAUACCGGAGAAUGUUAUCACGGGAGACACACGGCGGGUGCUAACGUCCGUCGUGAAGAGGGAAACAACCCAGACCGCCAGCUAAGGUCCCAAAGUCAUGGUUAAGUGGGAAACGAUGUGGGAAGGCCCAGACAGCCAGGAUGUUGGCUUAGAAGCAGCCAUCAUUUAAAGAAAGCGUAAUAGCUCACUGGUCGAGUCGGCCUGCGCGGAAGAUGUAACGGGGCUAAACCAUGCACCGAAGCUGCGGCAGCGAACGUAUCACUUAAAGCGAUUCAGCGGGUUACGAUUGACGGAGCGAAGCGACGUCAAAGCGUAUACAAAGUCGAGUCGGUUUAAGGAUACGUUCGUUGGGUAGGGGAGCGUUCUGUAAGCCCGUGAAGGUGGCCUGUGAGGGUUGCUGGAGGUAUCAGAAGUGCGAAUGCUGACAUAAGUAACGAUAAAGCGGGUGAAAAGCCCGCUCGCCGGAAGACCAAGGGUUCCUGUCCAACGUUAAUCGGGGCAGGGUGAGUCGACCCCUAAGGCGAGGCCGAAAGGCGUAGUCGAUGGGAAACGGGUUAAUAUUCCCGUACUUGGUGUUACUGCGAAGGGGGGACGGAGAAGGCUAUGUUGGCCGGGCGACGGUUGUCCCGGUUUAAGCGUGUAGGUGUGUGUUCCAGGUAAAUCCGGUUCACUUUAACACUGAGGCGUGACGACGAGGCACUACGGUGCUGAAGCAACAAAUGCCCUGCUUCCAGGAAAAGCCUCUAAGCAUCAGGUAACAUCAAAUCGUACCCCAAACCGACACAGGUGGUCAGGUAGAGAAUACCAAGGCGCUUGAGAGAACUCGGGUGAAGGAACUAGGCAAAAUGGUGCCGUAACUUCGGGAGAAGGCACGCUGACAUGUAGGUGAAGUGAUUUACUCAUGGAGCUGAAGUCAGUCGAAGAUACCAGCUGGCUGCAACUGUUUAUUAAAAACACAGCACUGUGCAAACACGAAAGUGGACGUAUACGGUGUGACGCCUGCCCGGUGCCGGAAGGUUAAUUGAUGGGGUCAGCGCAAGCGAAGCUCCUGAUCGAAGCCCCGGUAAACGGCGGCCGUAACUAUAACGGUCCUAAGGUAGCGAAAUUCCUUGUCGGGUAAGUUCCGACCUGCACGAAUGGCGUAAUGAUGGCCAGGCUGUCUCCACCCGAGACUCAGUGAAAUUGAACUCGCUGUGAAGAUGCAGUGUACCCGCGGCAAGACGGAAAGACCCCGUGAACCUUUACUAUAGCUUGACACUGAACAUUGAGCCUUGAUGUGUAGGAUAGGUGGGAGGCUUUGAAGUGUGGACGCCAGUCUGCAUGGAGCCGACCUUGAAAUACCACCCUUUAAUGUUUGAUGUUCUAACGUGGACCCGUAAUCCGGGUUGCGGACAGUGUCUGGUGGGUAGUUUGACUGGGGCGGUCUCCUCCUAAAGAGUAACGGAGGAGCACGAAGGUUGGCUAAUCCUGGUCGGACAUCAGGAGGUUAGUGCAAUGGCAUAAGCCAGCUUGACUGCGAGCGUGACGGCGCGAGCAGGUGCGAAAGCAGGUCAUAGUGAUCCGGUGGUUCUGAAUGGAAGGGCCAUCGCUCAACGGAUAAAAGGUACUCCGGGGAUAACAGGCUGAUACCGCCCAAGAGUUCAUAUCGACGGCGGUGUUUGGCACCUCGAUGUCGGCUCAUCACAUCCUGGGGCUGAAGUAGGUCCCAAGGGUAUGGCUGUUCGCCAUUUAAAGUGGUACGCGAGCUGGGUUUAGAACGUCGUGAGACAGUUCGGUCCCUAUCUGCCGUGGGCGCUGGAGAACUGAGGGGGGCUGCUCCUAGUACGAGAGGACCGGAGUGGACGCAUCACUGGUGUUCGGGUUGUCAUGCCAAUGGCACUGCCCGGUAGCUAAAUGCGGAAGAGAUAAGUGCUGAAAGCAUCUAAGCACGAAACUUGCCCCGA